GACGAACGCUGGCGGCGUGCUUAACACAUGCAAGUCGAACGAAAAGAGGGAAAGAGCUUGCUCUUUCCGGAAUUGAGUGGCAAACGGGUGAGUAACACGUAAACAACCUGCCUUCAGGAUGGGGACAACAGACGGAAACGACUGCUAAUACCGAAUAAGUUCCAAGGGCCGCAGGGCCCAUGGAAGAAAAGGUGGCCUCUACCUGUAAGCUAUCGCCUGAAGAGGGGUUGGCGGCUGAUUAGCUGGUUGGAGGGGUGACGGCCCACCAAGGCGACGAUCAGUAGCCGGUCUGAGAGGAUGAACGGCCACCCUGGGACUGAGACCCGGUCCAGACUCCUACGGGAGGCAGCAGUGGGGAAUCUUCCGCCAUGGGCGAAAGCCUGACGGAGCAACGCCGCGUGAGUGAUGACGGCCUUCGGGUUGUAAAACUCUGUGAUCCGGGACGAAAAGGCAGAGUGCGAAGAACAAACUGCAUUGACGGUACCGGAAAAGCAAGCCACGGCUAACUACGUG
rnacentral:rRNA from 1 species